rnacentral:rRNA from 1 species
AGAGUUUGAUCAUGGCUCAGGACGAACGCUGGCGGCGUGCUUAACACAUGCAAGUCGAACGGUCCAUCUUGGGUAACUGGGAUGGAUAGUGGCGGACGGGUGAGUAACGCGUGGGUAACCUACCCAAAACACUGGGACAACUCUGGGAAACUGGAGCUAAUACCAGAUGCGCUCGUUAGGUGACAUCACCAUACGAGGAAAGGCGGCCUCUGAAUAUGCUGCCGAUUAUGGAUGGACCCGCGUCUGAUUAGCUAGUUGGUAGGGUAACGGCCUACCAAGGCGACGAUCAGUAGCCGGCCUGAGAGGGUGGCCGGCCACACUGGGACUGAGACACGGCCCAGACUCCUACGGGAGGCAGCAGUGGGGAAUAUUGCGCAAUGGGCGAAAGCCUGACGCAGCAACGCCGCGUGAGUGAAGAAGGCCUUCGGGUCGUAAAGCUCUGUCUUUUUGGACGAAGCUCCGAAUGGUAAAUAGCUAUUCGGGAUGACGGUACAAGAGAAGGAAGCCCCGGCUAACUACGUGCCAGCAGCCGCGGUAAAACGUAGGGGGCGAGCGUUGUCCGGAAUUACUGGGCGUAAAGCGCGUGUAGGCGGGUUUUUAAGUCGGGUGUGAAAACUCUGGGCUCAACCCAGAGACUGCAUCCGAAACUGGAGACCUUGAGGGCGGGAGAGGAAAGUGGAAUUCCUAGUGUAGCGGUGAAAUGCGUAGAUAUUAUGAGGAACACCAGUGGGCGAAAGCGGCUUUCUGGGCCCGAACCUGACGCUGAGACGCGAAAGCGUGGGAGCAAACAGGAUAGAUACCCUGGUAGUCCACGCGUAACG